rnacentral:rRNA from 1 species
AACGAACGCUGGCGGCAUGCCUAACACAUGCAAGUCGAACGAGACCUUCGGGUCUAGUGGCGCACGGGUGCGUAACGCGUGGGAAUCUGCCCUUGGGUUCGGAAUAACAGUUAGAAAUGACUGCUAAUACCGGAUAAUGUCUUCGGACCAAAGAUUUAUCGCCCAGGGAUGAGCCCGCGUAGGAUUAGCUAGUUGGUGAGGUAAAGGCUCACCAAGGCGACGAUCCUUAGCUGGUCUGAGAGGAUGAUCAGCCACACUGGGACUGAGACACGGCCCAGACUCCUACGGGAGGCAGCAGUGGGGAAUAUUGGACAAUGGGCGAAAGCCUGAUCCAGCAAUGCCGCGUGAGUGAUGAAGGCCUUAGGGUUGUAAAGCUCUUUACCCGGGAUGAUAAUGACAGUACCGGGAGAAUAAGCCCGGCUAACUCCGUGCCAGCAGCCGCGGUAAU